UACGAAGGGGGCUAGCGUUGCUCGGAAUUACUGGGCGUAAAGCGCACGUAGGCGGCUUUCUAAGUCGGGGGUGAAAUCCUGGAGCUCAACUCCAGAACUGCCUUCGAUACUGGAAGCUCGAGUCCGGGAGAGGUGAGUGGAACUGCGAGUGUAGAGGUGAAAUUCGUAGAUAUUCGCAAGAACACCAGUGGCGAAGGCGGCUCACUGGCCCGGUACUGACGCUGAGGUGCGAAAGCGUGGGGAACAAACAGGG
rnacentral:rRNA from 1 species